UACGGGGGGGGCAAGCGUUGUUCGGAAUUACUGGGCGUAAAGGGCUCGUAGGUGGCCAACUAAGUCCGACGUGAAAUCCCUCAGCUUAACUGGAGAACUGCGUCUGAUACUGGAUGGCUUGAGUUUGGGAGAGGGAUGCGGAAUUCCAGGUGUAGCGGUGAAAUGCGUAGAUAUCUGGAGGAACACCGGUGGCGAAGGCGGCAUCCUGGACCAACACUGACACUGAGGAGCGAAAGCCAGGGGAGCAAACGGG
rnacentral:rRNA from 1 species